ensembl:ncRNA K07A9.5 ncRNA
AACUAACAAAAUGUAGGAAGUUUAGUGAAAAAUAUUUUGUUAGUUUACUACUUUU